rnacentral:rRNA from 1 species
UACGUAGGUGGCAAGCGUUGUCCGGAAUUAUUGGGCGUAAAGCGCGCGCAGGCGGUCUUUUAAGUCUGAUGUGAAAUCUCGGGGCUCAACCCCGAGCGGCCAUUGGAAACUGGGAGACUUGAGUACAGAAGAGGAGAGUGGAAUUCCACGUGUAGCGGUGAAAUGCGUAGAUAUGUGGAGGAACACCAGUGGCGAAGGCGACUCUCUGGUCUGUAACUGACGCUGAGGCGCGAAAGCGUGGGGAGCAAACAGG